GUUGGGUCUCCUUAUUUGAUAAAGAAUUAGACUCCUAAUUUGGUUAGGACAUGAUAAAAUAAGUUGGCAUCAACUACUUAAGGGAGGGACCUAACGCACUAUAGGUUAUGAAAAUUUUUUUUGUGAGACAAAAGGUGAGAAACCACUGGAGAUAUCAUAAGGAAAAAUAAGAAGGGAAGGGCGCAAAUUCCUUUUGGGCGUGGAGACCCCUUAGGCAUCUUUGUUUCUUGGCAUGAAGGUCCUAUCCAAGAUCCC
rnacentral:lncRNA from 1 species